GACGAACGCUGGCGGCGUGCCUAAUACAUGCAAGUCGAACGAGCUCUCCCAAAAUUGAUUUUAUGCUUGCAUAAAUGAUUUUUUGGAUUCGGAGCGAGUGGCGAACUGGUGAGUAACACGUGGGUAACCUGCCCUUAAGUGGGGGAUAACAUUUGGAAACAAAUGCUAAUACCGCAUAUGAAUUAAAACCGCAUGGUUUUAAUUUGAAAGAUGGCUCUGCUAUCACUUUUGGAUGGACCCGCGCCGUAUUAGCUAGUUGGUGAGAUAAAAGCUCACAAAGGCGAUGAUACGUAGCCGACCUGAGAGGGUAAUCGGCCACAUUGGGACUGAGACACGGCCCAGACUCCUACGGGAGGCAGCAGUAGGGAAUCUUCCACAAUGGACGAAAGUCUGAUGGAGCAACGCCGCGUGAGUGAUGAAGGGUUUCGGCUCGUAAAACUCUGUUGUUAAAGAAGAACAAGUGUAAGAGUAACUGUUUACGCUUUGACGGUAUUUAACCAGAAAGCCACGGCUAACUACGUGCCAGCAGCCGCCGUAA
rnacentral:rRNA from 1 species